CUUUCUCUGGCUGUAUAAUAUUCCACUUCAUAGAUACACCAUAUGUUAUUGAUCUACAUAGCAGUCGCUGGAUAUUUGAGUUUUAUGAAACCAGAUUUAUCAUCUCAUCUAUACAUACUUUAGUAUGUAUCCUGAACAGAUAAGAACUUAAAAAAAAUGAUCAAAAGUCCACGAGCAGAUCUUACAAAAUGAACUCUAAUUCCUUAAAAUCCCCUAAUACCCAGCUAGGUUCAACUCUCUCCAACUGCCCCCAAGUUAUGCUGUUUUUUCCAACCUUUGACUCGACCCUGGGAAGAAAAAAUAAGGGAUUAUCUGUGUCCUAGAUGCUGCUUAUAGGAAAAACACAAACUCCCAUCUUUAAAAAGAGAGAGGGUGGCAUCGGGCUGGGCCAAUUGUUUAGCAUUGGUGAGGCCCUGGGUUCAACCCCAGCACCUGGGGGAGGAGGAAGUGGGGAGAGAGAUAAAUAGAUGGGGGGGGGAGAGAGGAGAGAGACUUUUCUAAUUUGCAAGUAAACACACACACUUGCAAUCAAUUGCUUUUUCUAUUGAACGACUCAAUUUUCCUCUUCCCUGCGUCUUUCCUGCUAGUCACCCCCACCCCCACCCGGAAGGGAGGUCGGGGUCAGGGGAAGCUGUUUCCAGAACGAACUCAGCGGUCUCGGGAGCGGGUGAGCAGCUGUCCCCUAAUCCCCAUUUUUCUGAGGGCAUGAAUAAUUUAGGCUGCGAUCUGGCAGAGGGGAGAUGGCGAAAUCACCAGCACCGCUCCCUGCCCCUCGGCCUGGCUCCCGUCCCACACCCGGCUCCCCAGAUCCCCGACAGGCACAGGUGGGGGACCGGGCGUCCGCGCCCCGCCUCCCCGGCUCCUGGGGACCCAGGUCCAGCUUCCUCCCGGGAGCAGGGCUCCGCCGGCUGCGGGAGGCCACGGGGCGUCUGCGGAGCGGGCGGUGAGAAGCCCUGGGUCCCUCCCCGAGGAGCCCUGGGGGCGGCACUCGCGGCUCGCGGCUGGGUCUGAGCGAAACCCUUGGUGGAAACGCCCCGGAGCCGCUGAGCGCCCGCGCGCGCCUCCCGGCCUCGGGGAGCCGCCUCCGCUCGGCCUCCCCCUGGGCACAGGCUCGGCCGCCGGCCCCGCGCCCGUCCUGCAGGGGACCCCUGCGUCCCCCACGUCCCCGCCCGCUCGGCUCUCUCGGGCCCCUCUCUUCCCUCGGCGGACCAUGGACCUGUGCGCUCGGGAAGGCGCGGCCCCCUGGGCGCCGGGCAGGCGCGGCCCCCGGGACACCUGGAGGACCCGCCGCGCUGCGCACUAACGCGGUCGGCGCCGCCCGAUCCCGCAGGUGAGUGGGGCGCGCGGCGGGCACU
rnacentral:lncRNA from 1 species